rnacentral:misc_RNA from 1 species
AGCAGCCGCGGUAAUUCCAGCUCCAAUCGCGUAUAUUAAAGUUGUUGCAGUUAAAAAGCUCGUAGUUGAAUUUCGGGACCAAUUUGUUGGUCGUGCCUCGGUACGUACUGGUAUUAUUGGUUUCUCCCUUCUGAAGAACCUCGAUGCCAUUAAUUUGGUGUCGUGGGGAAUCAGGACUGUUACUUUGAAAAAAUUAGAGUGUUUAAAGCAAGCAUACGCUUGAAUACAUUAGCAUGGAAUAAUGAAAUAGGACGUUUGAUUCUAUUUUGUUGGUUUCUAGGAUCGACGUAAUGAUUAAUAGGGAUAGUUGGGGGCAUUAGUAUUCAAUUGUCAGAGGUGAAAUUCUUGGAUUUAUUGAAGACUAACUACUGCGAAAGCAUUUGCCAAGGAUGUUUUCAUUAAUCAAGAACGAAAGUUAGGGGAUCGAAGACGAUCAGAUACCGUCGUAGUCUUAACCAUAAACUAUGCCGACUAGGGAUCGGAUGAUGUUAAUUUUUUUCAAUGACUCAUUCGGCGCCUU